rnacentral:rRNA from 1 species
UACGUAGGGGGCAAGCGUUGUCCGGAUUUAUUGGGCGUAAAGAGCGUGUAGGCGGCCAGGUAGGUCUGCUGUGAAAACUCGAAGCUUAACCUCGAGCUGUCGGCGGAAACCAUCUGGCUAGAGUCCGGAAGAGGAGAAUGGAAUUCCCGGUGUAGCGGUGAAAUGCGCAGAUAUCGGGAAGAACACCCGUGGCGAAGGCGGUUCUCUGGGACGGUACUGACGCUGAGACGCGAAAGCGUGGGGAGCGAACAGG